AGAAUAUUAACACUGACGAUUUCUUGAGAAAGCUUCCGGUCUGGCCUCAUCAUUUUGACAAAAGAGCCCAGUAUUGGAAAGAGCUUUGCUCCCAGUGAGGAAUCAGACACACAACUGCAGAAAAGAGAGAAUUGUGGAUCAGUUCCUGCUCUUAAAAAAAAGCAUGGCAUGGUGAAGUCUAAUUUCAUUGAAAUGACCCAGAGGGAAGUAAGCGAAACCAAACAGGAGACAAGAAAACCGAUUAAAGAAAAACUCCAAUGUUUACCAGAAUCUGUCUUUCUUU